rnacentral:rRNA from 1 species
ACGCUCGACACCUACGGGAGGCGGCAGUGGGGAAUAUUGCACAAUGGGGGAAACCCUGAUGCAGCAACGCCGCGUGAAGGAAGACGGUUUUCGGAUUGUAAACUUCUGUUCUUAGUGAAGAUAGUGACGGUAGCUAAGGAGCAAGCCACGGCUAACUACGUGCCAGCAGCUGCGGUAAUCUGAGCGGGCUGGCAAGGC